rnacentral:lncRNA from 1 species
CACUGAUCAAUACAUAUGAUAGAAGGUACGUACAAGAUGCUGGAAAAACAUUUAUUCGCACCAAAAGAGCUCACUAGAAAACAAUGUGAUUGAAAAAUAUAAUUCCAAAAGACAUCAAAUGACACCACACAUAAAUGCGACCAAUCUUUACAAAGAAAGGGCGGACCCCAACAGCUUAAAGAUACACUGAGAUAACCUCAUAUGGUACUAAUAUCUUCAGGGGCUGGUGGCUGGAGGAGGAGCGAGGAAAGGAAUGGAAGGAAUUUUAGGGAGAGAGGUAGGGAUGCCUGGCACCGGGGGCAGGGCAGUUGGCACGGUUGGCAUGCUUGGAAGUGGCGGCAGAGCAGUGGUGGGCAAUGUUGGCUGGGUGGUGGGCAGCGUCGGCAAUGUGGGCUGAGGCAGGGUCGUAGGGAUGGCAGGUAAUGUGGGAAUGGACGGCAAUGGUGGCAGUGAAGUCGGUAUCGAUAUUUUGGGCAUCGUGGGAAGGGACGGAAUGGAUGGUAUAGUUGUCGGUAUUGGUAGUGUUGGUAUCAUGGGAAGGGACGGUAUGGAUGGCAUAGUUGUUUGUAGCAGAUGACGAGCUCCAAAACUUAUGUUGGCGGUUGAGAGAACUAGGGUGAUGAAGAGAACAAAGCUCUUUAAGGAAGUAGCCAUGUCAGCAACUGGAGUGUGGAUUUUUUGUUGUGAAAGGCUCAAGGACUUGAAAUUAAUGAGCUAAGAGCAAUGGAUUGCUACUUGUGUGAGUAAAUGGAGGAAGGAGAUGGGAGUUUAUAUAGCCAGAGGUAGUUCAAAUAGAAUUUUGGGUUGUGAUAAUAAGUUGGUGACUGGCUUUUGGGUAUGGUUGGGAAAAAGAAUAAAAAACAGAACAUCUCUUUUAUUGGUUCUUUGUUGGCUCACCUCCUCAGCUCAAAUAUCCUGACAGAUGACCAAUGCUUUCGUUGAAGUCAAUCUUCGCAUCUGUCUUUGUAGGAGGCAACUGAAUAACUUGCUAUUUUUCUUAGGUUGAUUGUCAACUUGCUUCUUGAUUUUAACAUAUAAUUCUAAGGUUGGUUUUUGUUGCAUUGACCGAUCUCCCCGAAAUUUGGGCCUCAUCAAUGAUUUAGUCUACUGUCAAUCUUCGCAUCUGUCUGUGGGAGGCAACUGAAUAACUUGCUAUUUUCUUAGGUUGAUUGUCAAUUUGCUUCUUGAUUUUAACAUAUAAUUCUAAGGUUGGUUUGUGCGGCAUUGACCGAUCUCCCCCAAAUUUGGGCUUCAUCAAUGAUCUAGUCUACUGUUAAUUGUUUGGGCUUUAGCCAUUAGUUAUAUAUAUAUAUACAAAUGAUAAAACCACUAAAAAUUCUAAAUUGGUAUACUCGUUCUAUAUUUACUCCAAAUUAACUUUUAUAUAAAAUUCUAAAAUAAUACAAUCAUGCCACAUUUAUCCCAAGCUAAUUUUAUGUUAUUUCUAGACCAUUACAUUUGCACCGCAUUUACUUUAACUUUUUUCUGUUACAAAAAAUUCUGAACAAAAACUCUUAAUUAUGUUAAAGCUAAUGAUUUGAGCUUGAGAUUAAGAAGUGAAGCGGAUAGGCAAAAAAAUGAGGCAUUUAUGAGCUAUUGGAGAGUUCUGAAAUUAAAGUAAUCAAUGAAUUCCAUUUCUAACCGAAUAAUUGGCUUAACCGAAUAAUUUUUGAAUAGAUUACUUUUAUGGACGUUGAAAUGACAAUAAAUGGGUUAAGAAGGCUGACAUUGAGAUUUUUUGUGAUAGAAAAAUAAAUUUGGGGUAAUUGUGGCACAAUUACCCCAAAUUAGGAUGUUAAUUGAGAUUUUUUGGGCUGACAUUGAAGAUGAUUCUGAAGGACGCGACAAAAGGUUUGUGAAUAUAGUAUUGGUAUUGUUGUUUCUUGUUUAUUAUCUACCUUUUUCUCUCCUUGUAUUUUAGAUUAAUAGAUUUAGAAAACAGCUUGAAAUACAAUUUAAAAAAUAUAUGUCAGCUUGAAUAUAUUAAUGGUGGAAAAAUCAUCCUAAUCAACUUAAAUUACUUAAGCCUAAGAAAAUAGUAUUACUAAUACGAUUUAAAUUACAAAAGGUAUCUAAAUUAUAUUGUUGAAAUAUCACAUGACUUGAUAACGGGUCUUAUAUACUUUUUAUAUACAUGUGAUGUUGGACAUACUUCACUCUCCAUUAUAAAUAGUUCAUCCCAUUUUGCAUUUCUUCCUCUGUUCGCUGGUGUUGGGAAUACUUCAAUUCUCAUGCUUUAUGAGUUUCGCCCUUUUGUGUCUCAUCUUAUUUUUCAGGUUAAACUUUUGACUCGAAUAAUUUUGGACAAAGAUGAUUCAAGCGCUAUGAAAUUCGACGCUUUGGUCAGAAAAUCUUUCUUUGCCCCAUAUCAUUACUCACCGAACUUUGAGUCUGUUGGAAUUGUUUAGCUGUUGUUUUCUGUCAUGUUUUCCUCUGUUUUCCUCUGUUUUUAUUUUAUUUUAUUAAAAAACAGCCAAGUUCAUUUAGUUAUGCAUUUAGUGUUUUUGCUAUUUUCUAGGAAGUUAAUAGCACAUUUGUGUGCAGUUAUGUGUUGCACGUACGUGAGCAGUUUCUGCUUUGUAUUUAGUGGUUGUACUUGACAGUUUUUUUCUUUAAGCACAAUACGUAUGAAGUGCUAUGCUAUGUUUUUUUUUUUUCUCUUUUCUCUCUCUCAAACAACAGAAAUUUUUCUGUUUUGAUUGUUGUUUUUAUGAGCUUUAAUAUUGGUAUCAGAGCAUUUGUGGGAUCUUAAAGGACUGUGAAGUGAGGGUAAGUGAGUGAAAUUUGCUUCCAAUCUGCAAAGAAAAAGCUGAUGGAGGCAGGAUCGAGUGGAUUCUCUGCAAUGGCUGCUCCAGUCUUUACUGGGGAAAAUUAUCAGGCUUGGGCAGUGAAGAUGACAGCCUUCUUGGAGGGUCAUGAUUUAUGGGAGGCUGUGGAGAAUGAUUAUGAGGUUGUUCCACUUCCAGACAAUCCGACCUUGAAUCAGAUAAAGUACCAUAAAGAGAGAAUCACAAGGAAGGCGAAGGCAAAGUCUUGCCUGUAUGCUGCUGUUUCACCUACUAUCUUCACAAGGAUCAUGAGAUGUGAUUCUGCAAAGGCAAUAUGGGAUUUCUUGAAGGAUGAAUACGAGGGAGAUGAGAAGAUAAGAGGCAUGAAUGUGCUGAAUCUCUUGAGGGAGUUUGAGAGACAGCAGAUGAAGGAUUCAGAGUCAGUGAAGGAGUACUCUGAUAGGCUGGUUGGGAUAGCUGAAAAAAUAAGAGUUUUAGGGACUGACUUGAAGGAUGAAAGGCUUGUUCAGAAGAUCCUGGUGUCUCUUCCAGAGAAGUUCGAAGCCACCAUAGCUUCUCUAGAAAAUACAAGAGACUUAGCUGAUAUAAAGCUUGCAGAAUUGUUAAAUGCUCUACAGGCACAGGAGCACAGAAUACUGAUGAGAAGAGAAGAGUUUGUAGAGGGUGCACUGCAAGCUAAAGUGAAGUCAAAUGAUGGAGGCAAAGGGAAGAAAUGGAUUCAGUCCAGAGAAAAUGCUGGUGACUCCAAGUUUGUAGCAAAAGAAGGAAAUUCUGGUGGGUCUAGCUAAUGGAAGAUGAACAAAAAGCCUUGUCAAUACUGUGGUGGAACUAAUCAUUAGUUUUUUUAGAUGUUGGAGAAAGCCUGAUGCUAGAUGCAAAAGAUGUCACAAGUUGGGUCACAUGGAAGCCAUCUGCAAAGAAAAAAAUUACCAGCAAGCAGGAAAAGCACAGGUAGCAUUGAAUGAAACUGAGGAAGAGCACUUGUUUGUAUCUUCUUUUUCUGAAUCUUCUGUUGGGAAUGAUACAUGGCUGGUGGAUAGUGGCUGUACCAAUCAUAUGACUGGCAAUUCGAAGUUGUUUAGGAGUCUAGAUAGGUCAGUUAGGUCCAGAGUCAGAAUUGGCAACGGACAGUAUAUCAAAGUGCAAGGGAAGGGUACAGUGGCUAUUGAAGGAAAUCAGAAGGUGAAGCUGAUGAGUGAUGUUCUUUUUGUGCUAAACAUUGACCAGAAUCUGUUAAGCGUUGGUCAAUUAGUUGAGAAGGGCUAUAAAGUGAAGUUCGAAGGGAAGGAAUGUCUUAUUAAUAAUGCAGAUAGCAAGGAAGUGCUAAGAAUCCCAAUGAGGGACAAGAGUUUCAUGUUCAAGCCACAAGAGAUGCAACAAAUGGCUUUAAAGUGCAAAGAAGAAAAUGUAGAGCUAUGGCAUAAAAGACUUGGGCAUGUUCACAGGAAGAGCAUGUCGUUUAUGCAGAGAAAUAGCUUGGCAGAUGACUUGCCAAGUUUGGAGGAGGAAUUUCCACAGUGCAGAACUUGUCUUCUUGGCAAGCAAGCCAGAUUUCCUUUCAAAGGAGGAGGUUGGAGAGCAUGUGAGAAGCUGCAAUUAGUCCACAUAGAUCUAUGUGGACCUAUGUCUAAGUCUUCUCUCAAUGGUAGCAGGUAUUUCAUUACCUUCACUGAUGAUAUGACUAGAAUGAGUUGGAUUUAUUUUUUGCAAGCCAAGUCUGAAGUUGCUGAUGUGUUUGUGAAGUUUAAAGCCUUAGUUGAGAAUCAGAGUGGGAAGAAAAUUAAAAUGCUCACGUUUGAUAAUGGUUCUGAGUAUACUGCUCACAAGUUUAAGUUGAAUUGUGAGCAAACAGGAAUUGUGCAGCAGUUCACUGCUCCCUAUUCACCUCAACAGAAUGGGGUCAGUGAGAGGAAAAACAGAAGCAUUAUGGAGAUGGCUAGAUGUAUGAUGCAGGAGAAGAAGUUACCUAAGAAGUUCUGGGUUGAAGCAGCUAAUACUGUAGUGUUCUUAUUGAACAUAUUGCCCACAAAGGCCUUAGAGAGGUCAACACCUUUUGAAGUAUGGUAUGGUGUUAAACCUUCUGUGAAAAAUUUGAAGGUUUUUGGGUGUUUGUGUUACACUCAUGUUCUUGAGGUUAAGAGGGACAAGCUGGAUAAGAAAGCAGAGCUUGGAAUCUUCAUUGGGUACAGUCUCCAAUCAAAAGCUUACAGAAUUUUUCACCUUAUGACAGGGAAGGUGACUGUAAGUAGAGAUGUUGUUUUUCUAGAGGAAGAUGAGUGGAAUUGGAUGGAAGGAAAGAGUGCAGAACAACAACAGUUCGAAAAACAACCUGCAACAAAUGUAGAGGUUGAUGAAGUUAUAGAUGGAUUGGAAGACAGUGUGGAUGAUUUACCAGUGAGAGACACAAGGUCACUUGCUGAAAUCUAUGAAAGAAGCAAUGUGGCAAUGCUUGAACCAUCUAACUUUGUGGAAGCUAAGGAGGAUCAAAGGUGGAUUGCAGCAAUGUAGGAGGAGAUUGCAAUUAUCCAGAAAAACCACACAUGGGAGCUUGUUGACAGACCGUCUGAUAAGAAUGUGAUUGGGGGUUAAGUGGGUGUUUAGAACAAAACUUAAUCCUGAUGGUUCUGUCAAUAAACACAAAGCUAGACUGGUGGUGAAAGGCUAUGCACAAAUAUGGGGAGUAGACUAUUCUGAAACAUUUUCUCCUGUUGCACGACUUGAUACAAUAAGGUUAUUGUUAGCUAUUGCAGCAGAGAAGGGGUGGCCUAUAUUUCAGUUAGAUGUCAAGUCUGCAUUUCUGAAUGGAGAGCUUGAGGAGGAGAUUUUUGCUGAACAACUUGAAGGCUUAAGUAUUAAAGGGUAAGAAGAGAGUGUAUACAGGUUGAAGAAAGCUCUAUACGAACUGAAGCAUGCUCCAAGAGCUUGGUAUGGGAAGAUAGAUCGAUAUUUGCAGGAUUUUGGCUUUGUAAAAAGCUUAAGUGAGUUCACUCUUUAUGUCAAGAAGGUGAAUCACAGUGUUGUAAUUCUGUCACUUUAUGUAGAUGAUCUAUUAGUGACGGGGAAUAAUAUGGAAUUGAUAGAGAAGGUGAAACGAGAUCUAUUUGCAGUUUUUGAGAUGUCAGACUUGGGAAAGAUGGCUUAUUUUUUUGGGUCUAGAAGUCAAACAGGCUUCAUAUGAGAUCUUCAUCUGUCAGAAAAAAUACAUGAAGGAAAUUUUAAAGAAGUUUCAGAUAGAAAAUUGUCAAAGUGUAAGCACUCCUAUGGCUGCUAAAGAGAAGCUGCAAAAGAAUGAUGGAAUAGAUGCAGUAGAUGCUUCUAUGUAUAGAAGUAUGAUUGGGUGUCUCAUGUAUCUUACAGCAACCAGACCAGAUAUGCUAUUUGCUGUGAGUGUUUUAUCCAGGUUUAUGAGUCGUCCUAGUCAGUUACAUUUGAUUGCAGCAAAAAGGGUCUUGAGAUAUCUCAAAUGAACAUUGUUCUUUGGUGUGAAGUUUAAGAAAUGUCAAAAGUUUAAUUUGCAAAGAUUUUUUGAUAGUGACCGGGCUGGUUCAGUCGAUGACAUAAAGAGUACGUGUGGAUAUUGUUUCAGUUUUGGUUCUGCUUGUUUCUCCUGGUGUUCCAAAAAGCAAGAGAUUGUAGCUCAGUCCACAGUAGAGGCUAAGUUUAUAGCAGCUACUGCAGCUGCAAAUCAAGCUUUGUGGCUGAAAAAGAUAAUGAAUGAUCUGUGGUUGAAUUCUAGUGAUUGCAUUGAAGUUAAUGUGGAUAAUCAGGCUGCUUUAGCAAUAUCUCAGAAUCCAGUUUUCCAUGGCAAAACGAAGCAUUUCAAAGUCAAAUUUUUCUUUCUGCGUGAGGUGCAACAAAGUGGCGAAGUUAAGUUGGUCUAUUGCAGAUCUGAAGAUCAGCUUGCAGAUAUGUUCACAAAACCACUUCAGGCUGGAAGAUUUGAGCUGUUAAGAGAGAAAAUAGGAAUCUGCAGCAGCAACUGAUCCAAUGAGGAGUUUGUUGGAAUUGUUCAGCUGCUGUUUUUUGUCAUGUUUUCCUCUAUUUUACUAUGUUUUUUUUUUCUAUUAAAAAAACAGCCAAGUUCAUUUAGUUAUGCAUUUAGUGUUUUUGCUAUUUUCUAGGAAGUUAAUAGCACGUUUGUGUGCAGUUAUUUGUUGCAUGUACGUGUGCAGUUUCUGCUUUGUAUUUAGUGGUUGUACUCGACAGUUUUUUUCUUUAAGCACAAGACGUAUGAAGUGCUAUGCUCUGUUUUUUUUAAUCUUUUCUCUCUCUCAAACAACAGAAAAUUUUCUGUUUUGAUUGUUUUUUUUUAUGAGCUUUAACAGAGUCGCCUAGUCAACAAAGCGACAACAACCCACAUAAUUUUCGUUGCAAAAGUUUAGCCCUUUAGCCACGAAAUAAAAUCUGUCGCUUUUGAGCGCCUACGCAUUUUGUCACGAAAUAUCCCGUGGUGAAAUGUAUACUUUUUGCUACAAAAUUACUCGAUUUCAUUUCCAAGGUCUAUUGCCAUGGGCCUUUAGCAAUGACAUAUUGGCCACUAAGAUUUUCGUGGCAAGAAGCCUUAGCCAUAAAAUUCCAGGCUUUUUAGCCAAGAAUUCCGCUGUAGUGAAAGGUCGAUUUUCUUGUAGCACCGAUUCACUAGCUACAAUUAGAAAAAGGUGGAUAAGGCCGUAUGAGAAGAACUCAUUUUUAUACUGAUGGUGUGUGUUAUAAUUACUAACAAACUUGGAAGAGGUCGAAAAGACAUGGAUGAAUAGAAGCCAACUCACCGAUCAGUACAUACAAGAUACUGGAAAAACAUUUAUUCGCACGGAAAGAGCUCACUACAAAACAAUGUGAUUGAAAAAAUAUAAUUCCGAAAGACAUCAAAUGACACACCACACAUAUCUGCUAAAAAAUCUUUACAAAGAAAGGGCGGACCCCAACAGCUUAAAGAUACACUGAGAUAAACUUAUAAGGUACUAAAAUCUUCAGGGGCUGGUGGCUGGAGGAGGAGUGAGGAAAGGAAUGGAAGGAAUCUUAGGGAGAGACGUAGGGAUGCCCGACACCGGGGGCAAGGCAGUUGGCACGGUUGGCACGCUUGGAAG